UUUAAAUUUGGUGUUGAUGCACAAAGAUUGGAAAAUGCUGCUAGAGGAUAUGUCAGAGAAACUAAAGGUGUAGGGAAUUUAAUCAGCAUGAAAUAAGGGUGAAUUAAUUCAAAGCUCAGAGGUAGGUUGGUUUAGAGCCAGACAUGAACAUGCUUUGAUAAAUGUGAACUUAAGAUUCAUAUUUUCAUAAAGUGAUAAAAUAUUAACCUUAAGGACUAUUUUCAAAUUUUAAAAAUAUUUCUCCUUUGUAAUCUCUUUCUUGAGACUCACUUUUCUCCACCUCUGCUGAGGCAGUAAGGUACCUCUGUCUGGGAAAGGUGAAGAUACAAGGCCUAGAGAAAACUAAGCAUAAAAUAGGAAUAGCCUGAGUUCUAAAAUGUUUAUGCCAGAUCACAAACUAUUCUGUUUAUCUAAGAUUUGCAUUUGUCAACUGCCUAAUCAUCUGCUCGACUGUUCUUCUUACAGGAUGCAUGACAAUCAAGUGUGCUCUUCAAUCCCCUUCAAGUUUUGGACCUGUUGUGUAAUUCCUACAGCACAUAAUCAAAGUGCUAUUUGAUCUAACUGGUUUGGGGUCUAUAUACAAUGAUCCCCUUGGAGGAGUGCCCAGAUGUUUUCCAGAUCAUUCAUUCCGUUGAUUCAGUACAAUUUAUUGGGUGUGUGUGUGCCAGGUACUAGUUAUGCAAUGAUGACUAAGAUAGUCCCUAUUCUCUGUCAGCUUCUUAUAGUAAAGUCUGUGAACUGACCACACAGAUGACCUGCAGAAGUCUGCUGCAGAUUCUCCUGCCCUAUUCCAGACCUCCUGAACCCAAAUCUCAGAGGCUAGGGAUUCUGCGCUUUGAAGAUGUUCCCUAGAUCCUUUCAUUCAGGAGGCAUCUCCCUGGAGACGGAGGAAAUGGUAGGAGUCCCCUGGGGUGCUGUCAGCUCCACUUGCUGAACUUCUGGAGAAAGAGUGAAAUACUAGGUAAAGGAAAUGCCUCCAGCCUGCUCCUAGGGAGAGGCAGGACUGGGAGGAGUGGGGACGUGAGAGGGACCCUUGACCUGAAUAAGUUGGAGACGUUUCCAAGCGUGGCUCCCUUCCCACUCUCAACCUCACAGCACUAGUGCCCCUGACAGGAAGGAAAACUGCCUUGUCCUGUGGCCCCUUUCAGUUCUAGUACAGCUAGAAGGAUGUUCCCCACAUUUGUGCUCUUACCUUCUUUACUUCUAGGCAAACCCCAAAAGCCCCCAGCCUCAAAGAAGGGCCGUUCCUGGGGCAGUGCUGACAAGUCCAGGUUAGAGGGACUUGGGAAGUCUCAGAUCAGAGGCUGGCACUCUUAUCAACCACCCUACCCAACCCUUGUGUCCAUGCUCCUCCUUGAAGGCCUGCCUAUCAGAGGUUUAUUUCUGACCAGGGCCACUAGGACAGAGGAAGUUUGUGGGGUUGGACCACCACAGCGUACAUCUGCACCAGCCUUCUUUGCUACUCUUUUUCACUGCAAAUGUAAAAUAAUCCAUUGGCAGUAUCACUUCUGUGGUCCCACUUAUAUCAUUGUUUCUGGGACUGUGUUGAAAACAAAAUCCUGACAAACAAAUGUUUAGAACACAGACUCGUUGAAGAAUGGUGUCUUAUACCCAUUUACUACCACAAGCAUUUCUUAUGUAUCUUACACCAGUCUGGGAAAUGCUCUGUCUGUGCUUUCAUAAAUUGGGCCGUUGCUGCUGGUGCUCCAGGAUGGUUUUAGGUUGUACACUAACAGGGCAGCAAAUGCCAUUGACUUAUCAUGAAAAUAUUACCACCAUUCUAAUUAUCCUUCUGAUUAUACCAAAGACAAGGUCCUGGUUUGGAACUAGAUCUUUAACACUGUUCUAACAUUUGCUUAUUGCUAUUAUUACUGUUUAAUAAGUAUAGGUCAAGAGCCUUGGGCUGGUUUAGGUGAUACAGAGGCUGAAUUCCAAACUGGUGGCUCUGUGACUGAAUCCAGCCUGCAGAUACGAUUUUCACCAUGCCAUAUUUAUAUUUAUAUAUAUUUUGGGCCAACAUUUAGAAACUCCAGAAAUUUUGCCUAAAACCCCAGAUUCCAAGCUUCUGUUAAAUAAUCAAAAUAUGCUCAAAUUCCUUCAUGGCAGAAUCUGACUCUAUUCUUUAAACAGGACACAUGCUCUGGGGCCCUGGGCGGCUCAGUUGAUUAAGCGUCUGACUUUGGCUCAGGUCAUGAUCUUGCACUGGCCCUGAACAAACGGAGGUGGGCCAAACAGAGACCCUAUGCUGAUGGAACUUACAUCCUGCUGGAGAAGACAGACAUUACACAAAGACUGAUCGUGGUCAGUUACCAAGAGAAACAAAGCAGGAUCCCUGUGGAAUAGCUGUUGAUUUUAGAGGAGGGUGAGUUUGUCAAUGUUGAAAGAAGACCCAGUUGGGAAGAAAACUUGAUUUUGUGUUUCCAGUGUAUGACAGGAAAAUGUUGACCUCUCCAGACCUCAAGGAUAUAUGUAAAACAGAGAGCUUUUUACCUCA